AGAAAAGUAAGCUAAAUCCCAAGCUAAUGGGUUCAUACCCCGUAAAUAGAGUUCAAUCACUCUCUUCUCUG
rnacentral:tRNA from 1 species